rnacentral:rRNA from 1 species
UACGGAGGAUCCAAGCGUUAUCCGGAAUCAUUGGGUUUAAAGGGUCCGUAGGCGGCCCUGUAAGUCAGUGGUGAAAUCUCCCGGCUCAACCGGGAAAUUGCCAUUGAUACUGCAGGGCUUGAAUUACUGGGAAGUAACUAGAAUAUGUAGUGUAGCGGUGAAAUGCUUAGAGAUUACAUGGAAUACCAAUUGCGAAGGCAGGUUACUACCAGUGGAUUGACGCUGAUGGACGAAAGCGUGGGGAGCGAACAGG